AGCAACUUGGGUGUAACUUGGCGAAGUACCCAAGCCGCAUGAAGGGAGCCAGCAUAGAAGUUGGAACAUGGAGCAGAGGCAUAGUGCUUUCCUUAGACAGAGGUCAAGGACAUGAACUCUUGCAGAGGCAAGAGUAGGAUCAUGUUGUUCCAUGGGUCCUUCAUUCUGACGGAGCGGACUCUUCUUGCAUGGUGUCAAAGACGAA
rnacentral:lncRNA from 1 species